rnacentral:rRNA from 1 species
AACGAACGCUGGCGGCGUGCCUAAUACAUGCAAGUCGAACGAAGCUUUUUUAACUGGUGCUUGCACCGACUUAAACAACUGAGUGGCGAACGGGUGAGUAACACGUGGGUAACCUGCCCCAAAGCGGGGGAUAACAUUUGGAAACAGAUGCUAAUACCGCAUAACCACAGAAACCACAUGGUUUCUGUGUCAAAGAUGGUUUCGGCUAUCACUUUGGGAUGGACCCGCGGCGUAUUAGCUAGUUGGUAAGGUAAUGGCUUACCAAGGCAAUGAUACGUAGCCGAACUGAGCGGUUGAUUGGCCACAUUGGGACUGAGACACGGCCCAAACUCCUACGGGAGGCAGCAGUAGGGAAUCUUCCACAAUGGACGAAAGUCUGAUGGAGCAACGCCGCGUGAGUGAAGAAGGUUUUCGGAUCGUAAAACUCUGUUGUCAGAGAAGAACGUGUGCGAGAGUAACUGUUCGUGCAGUGACGGUAUCUGGCCAGAAAGCCACGGCUAACUACGUGCCAGCCGCCGCAGUAA